rnacentral:lncRNA from 1 species
CUAAUUUUUUGUAUUUUUAGUAGAGAUGGCGUUUCACCGUGUUAGCCAGGAUGGUCUCAAUCUCCUGACCUCGUGAUUCACCCGCCUCGGCCUCCCAAAGCGCUGGGAUUACAGGCGUGAGCCACCGCGCCCGGCUGAUUUUGUUUUUUGUAUUUUUAGUAGAGACGGGGUUUCGCCGUGUUAGCCAGGAUGGUCUCGAUCUCCUGACCUCGUGAUCCGCCCGCCUCGGCCUCCCAAAGCGCUGGGAUUACAGGCGUGAGCCACCGUGCCCGACCCCUGUUAUGCCCCUUACGAUUAUUAUUGUAUCUUUAUGAGCUCAAGCUGCUGUCCCCUCCGAGUCUGGCACAUGCUGGCUGGAGACCGGCAGCACCCGGAUGGGGAAGAGCAGCCGUUUGGAGUCAGCAUUGACAGAAAAUCGAACACUGCUGCUCGAGGAUUCAGAAGCGGCCCUUCUGAGCUCUGCUGUGCACGCCGCGGGCUCUGGAGAGAUUGGCUGGGUCGUCCCCCACCUUCCUGGGGCAAGGGACCUGCCGAAGAGAGCCGGGGAAGAAUGUCAACAUUGUUAGGAAAACAAGCUUCAGACAGAAGCUCUGCAUAGCGGCCACCCGGAGGGAGGUGGAAUUUUGCAAUGCGCCCCUCCCCGUGCAGGGCGAGUGGCCCCAGGGCACACGAAGGCCCUGGCUGCCGUGAGUUGAUUUAAAGCUCGGCUGCCUAUCUCUGGUGACAGGUUAUUUGUGUAACCUACAGUUUUCUAUGCACGUAGUAAUUUCCACCUCCCUCCAUGUCACACAGAAGACACGUUUUUACCCUGAGUCGGAGCAGGAGAAGUGUCUAAACGAAAGUGACUUCACAAAGGGCUUGACUGACAGGCGGGCGCGGGGAGAGCCGGGAUAAUGUCCGGGUUAUCAAAGCAGACGCAGGUGGGCAGGUGAGAACGGGCAUGCUCCCCAGCUCAGAAAGGCCCGUUCGGCUCGCAGGAGGUCCCAAAGCAGGAACUAACAGGCACAGGGAUCGCUGGCCCCGUGCGUUUCCCUUUAAACACUGUCUAAGCUGUAACGAAGUCUGAUUACAGUUUAGCUGAGAUGGAAACUGAGAGGAAGGAACUAUAAUAUUCAGCAAUUACAAUCACCUUCCUCUUUGGACAAUCCCAUUUCACUCCUCGGCUUAUGCCUGUUCCCCGUGGAUCCUGACUACACACCCUAACCUCAUGCUUGGCAGUUCGUAAACAAGAUGCCGCUCUGUGGUGACGGCGUACGCGAAAUGAGAAGCACGACUCUGGGGGCCAGAGAGGCCUGAUCUCGGUAGCUCCCAGGCUUAGUCUCUGCGCUACCUGGGCCGAAAGAGCUGAAUUCUGCGAAGCUCUGUGUCCUUGCCUGUAGAAGGGGGAAGAACGGAACUUACUUGGAAGACUUGUGUGACUCGGGUGAGGAUUCAGCUGUGCACACACAAAGGGACAUGAGUGAGCAAGCGUCUGGCACGGACACAGCCGGGUGUGGAACAGCAGCCCCGCCCCGUUGGCUCAGAGGCAGCCGCACGCACAGAGGAGCUGUCUCAGCUCAGAGCCUGGCCUGGCCCGUCCACCUGGCCCUCUGGGAGGGCCGCCCCCCUUGCUUCUCUGGCCAAAUUCCUACAUCUGGGGUCUCGAGGGGAAGAGGCCGGGAUGAGUUGCUGGGUGGCCCAGCAAUAAAUCUUGAACAAUGAGGUGGCUCAGUCUCCCUCCUACCAAAUGGACCAAGUUACCUCUGAGGCCGUGGGAGGUGAAUGAGUCAGUGUUUGUGAAACACUCUGUGGAUCAGAUGAAAGGGCUCCAGGAGGGGCUGCCCAUUAGAGGUGAUCACAGGGAGCUUGGCCCACGCCCCCCAGAAUGAGGGCCAAGGGGCGGGGGCGGCAGGAGGCCUGGACGCAGAGGAGGCCACAGCCAGGCCCCACUAAGCCACCUGUUCCCGGCACAGGCAUCCGAGGGCCAAGGCUGCAGGAACCGUCUCUGCUGGUCACGUCUGGAGUGUGAGGCCCUGGAGGCCCCCGUGCACGUCCGUGCGAUGAUGCCGCCCACAACCACCGAGAUCGGCCGGAGGGAAAUAAGGCCGGAGGCAGCAGCACCCGGGGCAGCACAAACAGAUUUAAAACCAGGCAUGAGGCUGCCGGGCAGCUCUGACCUAGAACAGCCACCUUGUUUUACGGCUGAGGACAGGAGGGCUGAGAAGGAAAGCCCUGUCCCUGCAGGGGCUAAUGAAUGAGAGGAGGGAGAAUGAGCUACCCCCGGGAAGAAUCAAAUUCCGGAGGCAGGUGACCUCUGGGGCAGGCUGCAAGGACGCGGGCCUAGGGAAUGGCUGCCUUCUUCUCUGGGUUUUUCUUUAAACCGCACUGCUCAGCCCAGCCAUUUCCAGGAGGCCUCGCCAUGGGCACACGCUGAGGCAGGUGGCGGCGCCCGCCUGGCCAUUGGCAGACGUGGCUGUGCUAGGCGCCUUUUCUUUCUCAGCAGGACCCGGGGUGAGGAAAGAGACAUGCCGGUCACUCAAUGAAAUAACCAUGGAAACGCUGGAUUCAGCGGAGGCGUCCACCUGCCCAGCCGCUCCCCCCGGAACUUCCUCCUUCAGUCCGGGGACCGCAUCCAGCUUCUCCGGGGCCCGCGUGAAACAGGCUCGCCCCUCACCCGGCAGCCACCCAGAGUCCCGGCUUAUCCAUCACUGUCAGGCUCCGAGAGCAGCUCUGUUCUGAAUGCCCGGCCGCUUCUGCAACACACAGGAGGGAACAGGGGUCCACGUGAGACCGGCCACUGGCAGAGGCCUGGGUCAGGCUGAAAGGUGCCUUGCGAGAUGGGCACUCGCCAGCCUGCUCCAGCCAGAGCCCAGUUCCUUCUGAGAAUCACACGGCCAGACAGAGGCUUGCUGAGAAGUGGGUGUCCUCCUCUCUGUCCAGCCCCAGCUGCACGGAAGCGAAGCCGGCCCCAGCGUGACUGAGUCCAGAGCCCAGCCCUGAGCACUCACCAAGGGCCAGGACGAGUCAGUGUGUGGGGCAGGUGCCGCCCCCACGACCUCAUUCCCAAGCUCCCUCUGUGUCCCCGCAGCCCGUGCUGGCCAGGGAGGCAGGAGGGCAUGGCAGGUGCUCCCAGAGCUCGCUUCUCUGCGCGUUCCCGCCGCCCUCCCUCCCUGGUCCUGCGGGCUGCCGGCCUCAGGAUCCAGGUCACCUUAGGUGGCAAAGUUGGAGCCGUGCCCCACCUGCCUUCACUGGCUCAUGUUGACUCCUUCAUCUACGAGACAGUCUGAGCUUGAGGCUUGGAAACUCUCCUCUGCCGGACCUAGCUCUGGGCCAUGGAUGCACAGAGCCCUGAGCUCAGAGACCAGGAGAGGCUGGCACCAUGCUCCACCCAGCAGGUGGCUCCAGGUCAUCUGGAGUGUCCCAAAGCUGCAAGGCUGAGGGAGGCUCCCCCUUCCUGGAGGGGCCCAGGCAGCCCUUGGGAUGGAGCCAGGGACGGUCCCUGACCCCAGGAGCUCCCUCUCCUCCCACGCCUUCCACAGACCCAUCUCCCUCAGGACUGCCUUAACUUGGGGUCACCUAGAAAUAGGUUUAUGGGGAGGCCAUCCCAGGGAACUUUCGCAGGAAUGAGGGCUGAGAUGGGGAAGGGCUGUUGUCACCACCAUGGGGGAUUGCUCCAGUGAGAGGGCCAGCACGGGACCCUCAGAGUCUUCCCACCCAAGGGUCAUGAGAUCCGGGUCAGAGGUCACAGGCUGCUCCUAGGGCCUCUAGAUCUCUGGAGAGCCCUUGGCUGCAGUUUGCCGAUGCCAAUGGCUGGAGGUCAGCUGGCACUCCCACCACGAUGGCCAGCGGACAACAACAGUGUGGGCACAGUGAUGGGCACCCCCCCGUGUCCACUCGGCCGGGCUGCAGUGCCCAGCGGCACGGUCAAGCCCCAUCCAGAUGCCACUGUGGCUGUGCUGCAGGUGUGAUGGACACGCACAAUUGGCUAAUUGCAAGUGCUGCAGAUCACGAGAUGUGGCUGGGCCUCAGCUGCAGCUGAAGAUGAACGCCGAGGCUUCCUGGAGAAGGAUUUCUGCCCCAAGACUGCAACAUAAAAUCCUGCCCGGGCUCCCAGCCUGCUCCCCUGCGGGUCUGCCCUGCAGAUUUCAGAUUCAUCAGCCUGGACCAUCACAUGGGCCAGCGCAUUAAAUCAAUCUCCCUGUGUCUGUGUCUCUGUCUCUCUCCCUCCAAAGGGCGCUGACUGAUACGGGACCCUCUGUGUCUCUGCCUCAGGGCCAGGCUCCAGCCCCCGAGAGCCCCUGGUGGCUCAGCCUCUUCCCCACAGCCCUGCCCUCCACGAGGACGCUUUCGGCCCUUGGUGCUCUCUGUGUUACGGAUUUAUAGGGCUGUGCCCUGGGCCUGGACCUAAGGGGGUCGGGAGCAAUGUCUGGACUUCCUGCCACCCUCAAGGUACGCAGGUAUGUGUGUGCUCAGGAUGAUUUAUGUAGAGGAAACUGGGGGGAAACUCCUUGCAAAUAAACCUCUGAGAUCCUACAGACCUCAGGGGGAUGG